ACUGGAGACUUAUCAAAAGAAACUAUAACCAUUAAUUGGAAGGUUGGUUAUCUUUCAACAAUGUCACAAAGGAUGGAUGAAAUGUCAAUUUAGGUAUCACUAUAUUUGAUUACAAGAUUAAGGAUAUAUUUGGCAACUUUCAUAAAGUCUGGAUGCCUUACAUGGAAUACAGUAUGACAAAAGUAUAUUGAAAACAUGCCCACGCCAGGGGAGAUAUCUAUUUAGGCAAUCUCUAGCUGCUGGGCUGCUCAGUCCUGGCCCUGGGGGCUGCUGUCCUGUGGGUUGUCACUCUGGCCUUGGCCUAACCCACCUGAAACCAAUAAUAAAUGUUUCACUAAGAUCCUAAAGCAGAGUGGGGGGAGCUGCAGGGUGGUGGACCCCUAGGGACAGGACGACCCAGCUCUACAGUGUGCAAGUAAAAAUGCCUCUACAGUGUACUAUUAGAGAUUCAUUAUAUGGAGGAUGUGGUGUUUGUGUGUAAAUAUGUUAUUUUUAGUUUUUAUUACUUGUUUCCUAACCUUACUUUUAGGAAGGCAUUUUUUUUUUUUUAAGAUGGGAAGGAAAUUGAUAGGAGAGUUGUGUUGUUAUUGACUAGACUGGUGGGGGUCAGGUAUGCAGGUGGCUGGCUAAAACUAAAGUUGCACCCCUGCAUCAUUAGCUCCAAAAACGCCCAUCCUACGUGUUAUGAGACCAGAACAUAUCGGUACUAGCCUAGACAUUCAAUGUGGCCUACCAGCAUUUAACCAAACUGAUCAGAACGAGUGCCUGCCCUGGAGGUAGCAUAGCUAGCUAAUGUCAUGUGUAAGCUGGACUGCUAAUUAUUUUCCGAGCGGAACUAUCUGAGCAUCAUUUAUGAAUACUAGGUAACUAGCUAGACAACCAUUUACCCAGUUCAAAAGAGCAAGUCUUGAAUAUUCGCACGUGGCGUCGCGCCUUAUGAUGAUAGCUUGCUACUUUGCUAGCUAACGUUAGCAUAUUAUAUUUGGUCUCAACCGUGUGGUUGGACAUGAGCCAGGAUGUCGUUCAUAACGUCAAAUUAAUACUCAUGUGCACAGAGGUAGAAAUAGAGUGCUGGGUACGGUUUCAUGCUUAAUAAAAGUACAAUUGUCAGCCAAAGCGGGACAAAAGAAAUUCGUAGAAUCCGAAUACCAAGGCGGACAUUUUGGGGGCCCCUAUAACGUUAGCUAUCACCUCGACCGAACGGAACGCUAUCUAGCUUACUAGCUUAGCCAUCUGCAAUUUUACACGAAAUAAUAAUUUGGGGGCUAUGCUUUUUCAUCAUACACUUGGUUAUAUAGUUAUCUAACGUUAGCAAUGUAUUAGCGAGCUUGUUAGCAUGAUCGCCUAGCAAGCGAGUUAAUUAGUAUGUGCAUAGCUGCGAACAAAGGGAUACGAAUGCAAUCGAGCCUCUGCAGUGCAGUCAAUCAUGGGCCUCAAUGAAUUGUUUGUUACAAAACUGUCGUACACACUACCAAUGUAUUGGAAACAGUGUUCUUUAUGUGUAACCAGUGCGUUACGAAACCGGGAACCGGUCACGACCAAGGCCAAUAUCUACUUCUGCAAAUGUUUUGACAGGUUAACGUUAGCUGCUGGCUAAAUCACUGCUAGACACACGAGACUGCGGACAGGAAGGUUUGUCAUCGGAUUUCUUUGACCCUGGUGGAGAUGGAUGCAACCAUACUACAAGGCAGGACAUUUCGCUGAAUCCAAGUUGAGGCUUGCUACCAGCAGGAACAUGGAGCACUCUGUCAGUGCUACAGAGACAGAAUGGUCCAAGGACCUCCAGAGCCUUCUGAUCAAUUACCUGCGUUCUCUUCAGACUACAGAGAAGUGAGUCUGUUGGACUAUAGAACUUUAGAGCAGCACAUCAAAAGGCCUGCCACCCUGUUGUCAGGUAUAUGCAGACAGUUCCCUGAAGAAGGAUGCCACUAUCAAGGCUUAAAUGCCACAUUUUGGGGAUGACCAAAUGCAAUAUAGUUUUGUAUAAACAAAUUUGAUUAGAUUACAAAACAACUUUUUCAUAGCAUGUUUGUCACUAACUUUUACUUAUUUCUGUGGUAACUUAAACUCAACACGUGGAUAUUAUGAUUCAAUAGGUCUAAAGUAUAUGAACGUCUCAUGUAAAGGGUGAAUACAUUUUAUUAAUGUAUAUCACACAGGUCUCAAGUAAAAUAUAUAUAUAUCCCAGACAAGAUUGAAGAAUGGGACAAGUAAAGUGAAUAUUUGUCAG